rnacentral:misc_RNA from 1 species
GGGCAGUACUUCUCUUAUUACACUUGAAUGCAGCAAGUGCAUCCUUAGACUAUCGGAUGAUAUGACCGGAAUAAAUCUUUCUUCACUAAGCAGACCAGGGCACUCAAGAAGAUGUGCAUCUCAAGAAGUUCUCUAAGGCAAUUCUCAAGUACAUCCAUUCGAGUCCCUCUGAACCGCCAAUAACUCCAUUUUUAGGAGCCCAUCU